rnacentral:rRNA from 1 species
GACAAGAGCCAUAUCUUCCCGGUUUCCAACUGAAGCUAAGCAGGGUUGAGCUUGGCCAGUACCUGGAUGGGAGACCUCCAGGGGAAAACUAGGGUUGCUGCUG